CUCACAAUUCUCUCACCACGCCUCAUCCACUCACCUCACAAAAUCCGAAAAAAGAUCUCUCUCUUCCCUCACCCACACUCACUCCACGUUUUAAAACUCUCUGCAUCACACAUCAUUCACACACAUUCCUCACCCUUCACACGAUUCACUCUCUCAGAAAAAUUCUCCAACAUCUCCCUCUCAACCCUAAAUCACCUCACUAUCACCUUUCCCCAUUCUCACGACCCCACUCUCCUUUCACUCUCCUCACUUCACGCCUUCCAUCUUCAUCACCUUCAAUCGCCGCUUCUACCACUUUAAACCCUCCACCGCUCAAAAUCGCACCACCAUCAAACCCCCAGCCGCCGUACUCCUCUCAUUUUUCAUUCACCACCGUCAAGCUCCACACAACUUCCGCCUCUUCAAAACCCACGCUCAAACCCUCUCCGACAAAACCCUCACUUCCGCUCAACCUUCACUCAACCCACAAAUCCAAAAACCCGCCGACAGAAAUCAACCCCUUUCAUCGUGAGCUAACACCCCAAUAACCGUCGACCUCACUCCGAUUCUCUCAACAAUCGCCAUCACCGUACCGUGCCGUCGGCAAUUCGUCAAUCCGCAACCGCCCUUGUCCUUCAUCAACAGCGGUCUUCACCGUCUGUAUGCGUAGACCUCGCGAAGCCGUCACCAAGAAGUUUUCGAGUUUGUUGUGUACUUUUCUGUUUUUCAGGUACCGAUCUGGUUUUUCGCCAAACCCUCACUCCAUCGCGUGACGCUUUUGACGUAUCCGUGAACCACCUGUGACACCACGUUUCGGCAAUAAGCAGUUGCGUACGGGAUCCUCAUAACCGAAACCAACACAAUUGUGAAGAAAGGUUGUAAUGAAAUUCUCAAGUGUUAGUGGCAGUUGCUGUUGAGUUCCUUAAAUUAAUUAAAGUCGCAUGUUAAGCUGAGUUUUAAUUGAUAUGUUUUUGAGUUGCAUUGUAUUUAUAUCUAAUGUGCCUUUCAAUUUUGAUGCUGCUUGGAUUAAACAUGUAAAUAUUGUGAGUUUCAAUUGUGAGUUAAAUACAGUUUUGAGCCCAUAACUCGUUAUCUAUUCA